UUCAAGUAAUCCAGGAUAGGCUGUCGGCACCACGGCCUGUCCUCGGUUACUUGUCUC
rnacentral:pre_miRNA from 1 species